AUUCAGACGACGAGUCUCAAAUAGGACGAAGUGCGCAUCUUAGAU
rnacentral:hammerhead_ribozyme from 1 species